UACGUAGGGUGCAAGCGUUAAUCGGAAUUACUGGGCGUAAAGCGUGCGCAGGCGGUUGCAUAAGACAGAUGUGAAAUCCCCGGGCUCAACCUGGGAACUGCGUUUGUGACUGUGCGACUGGAGUACGGUAGAGGGGGGUGGAAUUCCUGGUGUAGCAGUGAAAUGCGUAGAUAUCAGGAGGAACAUCGAUGGCGAAGGCAGCCCCCUGGACCUGUACUGACGCUCAUGCACGAAAGCGUGGGGAGCAAACAGG
rnacentral:rRNA from 1 species